rnacentral:ncRNA from 1 species
GAAAAAGCUGUGAGCGAAUGAGUAAUUUAAAAAUUUUCUAUUAGAGAGCAAUUGGUUGGUGCAAAAUUGCGAAAAUUUUAAAUGAAACACUUUUGUGAGCUGAUAAGUUGAACACUUGUAGUAAGCUAGUAAACUUUUCCGGAAGCGCCGUUACCCCUUAAAAGUUUGGUUGAACUUGAUGAGUCUGUUAGUGUGAGCUGACAGAGUACAUGAGGUGGUACCGCGUGUUAUGCGCCCUCUUA